rnacentral:lncRNA from 1 species
GCGACGUCUCGAAAACAGAUGAAUGUAAACAGUACAGUCGGUUAACAGUCGAAUAUGGAAGAAAGUAACAGACUGGUAUGGAAGAAGGAAUUCCAUUGGGCGAUUUAACAAAACAAUGGAGAAGAAUCGUUAGAAUAAUCAUCGCUGCUCAAAGCAAAGGCAUUUCUCGCGAAGAAAAUGUGCAGUUCCAGGGGUGAGACAGAUCCUUGAACACGGUUCAAAGCAGAAUUGCCGAAGCAGAAGAAUCAACGGGAGGAAGUUUUCAUCGACGAAGGGAAACGGAAGGAAAUGUGGCUGUUAGUUGUUCCGGCCGAAACGGGAUGCAUCGAAGAGUGGCCGCGGCAACGGUGCGAGAAUCGGGGAAGAACGAGAAGUAAGAAGUAGAGCCAACCCAAAGGGAAAAGGACGAAAAAACGGAGAGAAAGAGAGAGAGAGAGAUGGCAUAGAGAAGCCAGCGGAAGGCGGAAAACAAGGGAAAAUAAAGCAGCGGAAGAAUCGCGUCGCAGGAAAAAGAAUGAGGGCGCUGUCAGCUGGUGGAAAUUAUUCUGAUUAUGCUAAUUCCGGUUCUGUUCCACUCCUUUACCCAGCCGUUCCCCAGACCCAUUGCCUCCCUGCUGCUGUCUGCGCCAUCUUUCAUGGCUGAUAUUUAUAAUAUAGGGGUGCCCGAGCAGUUUCAAACUCUUUUUGGCCCCCGAGCUCGCAACCCCCUCCCCACCCUCGACCAUCAUUUGGCCCUCCAUCGAGAACCACCCCACGGCACGCUCCACUGUCUUCGGGCUUUUCGAUAAAUUUAUUCAUAUUCCAAGGAAAAUUUCGUCGCUAGUCUCGAGAGAACUCGGUCAACUAGAGCCUCUGGUCCCGCAGCACGCGAGCUUAGCCGCGAUUUACCUUUGAAAAUCUAACCGCGACCACUUUCUUAGCCCACCAUCCUGAAAACACAGCCAUUAUCUAUGAAAGAGGAGAUUUUUGCAUAGUUCGUAAUAGCGUAAUGGUGUAUUUUCUUUUUCUAGGUUAGGUUUUCUAGGUUAUCUCGUUGCUCGAAAUUGAGAAGAGUGGGGAUGGAUUUGGAAAUGAAAGAGCGAAACACAUAGCCGCAGCGCUUAGCGUGCACGUUCGUAAUCUUCCUCUCAAGGUCGUAAGUUUUCCUUUUUAAUUAAAGGUGCUUUCUAUUCAUGUCCGGAGACUGGCACGCCCACGGUUAAACCUACGCUACGUUAUUUUACGCUUCGUGGAAAAUCUUCCUUUCCUCUGAUAUUGUCGUUCGAUCGUUUUGUUUGCUCCGCUAUAAUUUACAGCAUAAAAUUCAUAGACGACAGAUUGAAAGAAUCUGACACCGAAUCGAUCGGGACGGCAAGGCAUUAUGGACAGUUUAAAGGGACGAUCGUCAAACACUCGUGGUCUGUCGUCUUUGCAAACAUGAAUAAAAUACACACGUACAACGAUGAUUAAAUAGCCUUGUGUUUGCUCGGGGAAUAAGCGCAUCUAUCUCGCUUUACCCUCUGUUAACUCUUCGAUAAAAAGUGACACAGUCAUAUUUGAUUUCUUAUUACACCUCCCACAAGCCAGUCAAUACGGUUUUCACAUAAAACCAAUAAGGAGGAUUUGCUUGCUCGAAGAAGGAUGUUAAUGUGAUCUUAAAAUAUUUUCUAUUUUUCCCUUUUUUUUAUUUUAGUUCAUAUACAGACUACGGAUGUUUAGCAAUAUAUGCAGCGGCACAUGCAUCACAGGACGUUUCAAUACGAAGAUACCUGACAUGGUUGUUUUGCCACAGAGGAUUAACACUGUACGGCGCGCAUAAUGUAAUAAACAAACUCUGGACAAAGCAAUUUCGCUGCUACGUGCAAUCUACAACCGGCGACAACUUCAAAUCUCCCGGUGCCUCCCCUUCGCCAACAUAAAUAGACGACCGUGUUCUCCAGACACAGUCAGUCAGUCGAGCGAAUAAAUAUGAAAAAUCAGUGUAGCGAAUCAGCAUAACAAUUAGUAUGAGUAGCUCAGUAUCAAGCGAGCAACGAUUGCAAUUAACUUGGUAUUCUACAUUUUAAAAUAUCUGCAAAUAUAGUUAAUUAAAUUAACUAUAUUUGCAGACUGGUUGUUGAUUUAAUCAACAACACGUCACACCGUCCACCAGCUAUGUAUUCUAAGCAUUUUUUAAUAUUCCAUAAUUCUGUAUCUAUUGCUUUGAAACACAAUAACUCUCUAUUCCGUACGUUAAUUAAUAAUUUAUUGUAAUAGACAAGACUAUCAAGUAGCGACUUUAAAAUUGUUUAAAAUAAUCAUUACUUCAGUAAAAUUGUAUACUGUCCAUCUAUAUACAUUCCAUUCGCACGUAUUUCUAUCGCCAGCCUAUUUAGCAUGUCGAUAUAACGUUAAGAGGAUUGUAGGGCCCUUUGUUACUACGUUCGUGUUUACGAAAUUUGACCUGAUUUUAGGUAAUAUUAUGCCUGUCUUGCUGACGUAUUCAUAUACCGGGUCUUGCUUAAAUUGUGAUAUUCCUUAAUGACAAACUAGCUUUAACCCUCUGAGUGCUGUGGGCGCAUAUAGGCGUCUGGCAAAAGCUAUCGGUGUGGACUAAGGACAUAUA